rnacentral:pre_miRNA from 1 species
ACCUUGGCUGUAGACUGUUUACUGCCUGGGCCUCCCUCAGUAACAGUCUCCAGUCACGGCCA